rnacentral:rRNA from 1 species
GCGGCAUGCCUAUCAUGCAAGUCGAGCGAAACAUAAGGAACUUGCUCCUUUUGACUUAGAGGGGGACGAGGUGAGUAACACGUGUGUAACCUACCUAUAAGACUGGGAUAACUUCCUCAAACCAGAGCUUAUUCCCGAUUACAUUCUAAACCGCAUGGGUCUGAAUCGAAAGAUGGCUUUGCUAUCACUUAUACAUGGACCCACUCCCUAUUAGCUGGUUGGAAAGGUCACCGCUUACCCAAGCCACAAUUCGUAUCCGACCUGACACGGCGAUCUGCCACUCUGGAACUGACACACACUCCCACACUCCUACGGGAGGCAGGAAUUUUGGAAUCUUCCGCAAAGCGCGAAACCCUGACCGAGCAUCGCCGCUUGAGUGAUUAAGGGUUUCAGCUCCUUUAACUCUGUUAUUAAGGAAGAACCCAUAGUGUAAGUAUACUGUGCACAUCUUGCUCGCGUACCUAAUCACCAAAGUCACUGCUAACUACCUGCCACCAGCCGCGGUAAUACGUAGGUGGCAAGCGUUAUCCUGAAUUAUUGGGCGUGAAGCGGCGCGUACGCAGUUUCUUAUGUCUGAUGUGAAAGCUCACGGCUCAACCUGGGAUGGUCAUUGCAAACUGGGAAACUUGAGAGCAGAAGAGGAUAUUGCAAUUCCAUGUGUAGCGCUGAAAUGCGCAGAGAUAUAGAGGAACACCAGUGGCGAACGCGACUAUCUGGUCUGUCACUGACGCUGAUGUGCGAAAGCGUGAGGAUCAUACAUGAUUAGAUACCCUGGUACUCCACGCCAUACACCAUGACUGCUAAGUGUUAUGGGGCUUACGCCGCUUAGUACUGCAGCUAAUGCAUCUAGCGCUCAGCCUGGUGAGUACAACCGCACUGUAGAAACUCAACGGAAUCGCACGCGACCCGCACAUGACGUGGAAUCAUGUCGAUUCAAUGCGAAGCAACGCUAACUACCCUUACCAUGUCUUGACAUCUUUUGGAGACUUCUA